rnacentral:rRNA from 1 species
GUAGGUGGCAAGCGUUGUCCGGGAAUUAUUGGGGCGUAAAGCGCGCGCAGGCGGUUCUUUAAGUCUGAUGUGAAAGCCCACGGGCUCAACCGUGGAGGGUCAUUGGAAACUGGAGAACUUGAGUACAGAAGAGGAAAGCGGAAUUCCACGUGUAGCGGUGAAAUGCGUAGAGAUGUGGAGGAACACCAGUGGCGAAGGCGGCUUUCUGGUCUGUAACUGACGCUGAGGCGCGAAAGCGUGGGGAGCAAACAGGAUUAGAUACCCUGGUAGUCCACGCCGUAAACGAUGAGUGCUGAGUGUUAGGGGGUUUCCGCCCCUUAGUGCUGCAGCUAACGCAUUAAGCACUCCGCCUGGGGAGUACGGCCGCAAGGCUG